rnacentral:rRNA from 1 species
UGGGGAAUAUUGGACAAUGGGCGCAAGCCUGAUCCAGCCAUGCCGCGUGAGUGAUGAAGGCCCUAGGGUUGUAAAGCUCUUUCGCACGCGACGAUAAUGACGGUAGCGUGAGAAGAAGCCCCGGCUAACUUCGUGCCAGCAGCCGCGGUAAUACGAAGGGGGCUAGCGUUGCUCGGAAUCACUGGGCGUAAAGGGCGCGUAGGCGGAUCUUUAAGUCAGGGGUGAAAGCCCAAGGCUCAACCUUGGAAUUGCCUUUGAUACUGGGGAUCUUGAGACCGGAAGAGGUUGGUGGAACUGCGAGUGUAGAGGUGAAAUUCGUAGAUAUUCGCAAGAACACCAGUGGCGAAGGCGGCCAACUGGUCCGGUUCUGACGCUGAGGCGCGAAAGCGUGGGGAGCAAACAGGAUUAGAUACCCUGGUAGUCCACGCCGUAAACGAUGGAUGCUAGCUGUUGGCCGGCUUGCCGGUCAGUAGCGCCGCUAACGCAUUAAGCAUCCCGCCUGGGGA